rnacentral:lncRNA from 1 species
GGUUAUUAGCACCAAAAGUCAAAUGAAAUUCAGAGACAAGGGUCAUUGAAUUUACCACAUUACUUCUCCAGGAUUUUUGCACCAAGCACCAAACUAAAAACCAAUGCUAAACAACAGCACAAUCAUAAAACUAAUGCAAUUGAUAAAUUUCUACAGCAACCAUUCAACAAUUUCCAGCAAGCACCAAAAAUUAAAAUUGAAAACUGCUUCUUCAAUUCAACAGUAAGUUCACUUCCCGUUUUGAAGUGUUGCUCCGUUUCUCAACUGCCACAGCUGGUACUGCAGUAUGUUCAAAUUACAAAGUGGAAUUCAAGUUUUCAGCAAAUGUAACAAUUACAGAAACAUUGCAUUCAAUUAAAAUCUGCAACAGAUUUUCAUAAAUCAGCAGUGAAACAGCAGCACGUCACAAAUCAAAAUAUGCUACCCAAAAACCAAAAUCAAAUCAGCGUAAUCAACUCCUGUUGCUACAUUCACCAAUUUACUUCUAAAUAGCUAACAGAGUUUACCAGUUUUGCACCAGUUUCUCAAAAGAAAAUGCUCAGCACCGCAUCUUGCAAAGAAAACAGCUGCAUAAAAUUAUAUUGCGUAUUCAAUUUGCUGGAUACCACAAAAAAUUCAAAUUCUAAUCACCAAAUAACAAAUCAGAAUGCAUAGAACCUGUUCGAUGAAUUGUCUAAACCAUUUUACUUCAUUUUUCUUGCUCCAGUUUCAGUUUUCAGAUGCGAAUUCCUCUAUUAGUUCACUAAAAUUACUGAAAUGUGUAAAAUCAGCCUCCACCAAAUGUCUCAAAAUAUUACUGAAUUGCACCAAUUGUUUCAUGAACAAGCACAUCACAGAAUCAACGCUCUCUUGGAAUGGCAAUUAAAACAAAAAAAACUUCACUGAUUCUCGUUGGAAUCAUCUCCGUCGAUUCGAAAUUUCUCCGUUUCGCACUAGCUCCAACAACUUGCCUCAAUGCUUCAACGAUCCAGUACAGAACCGAUUCCAAUCAUAGAUUUCAAAAUUCGCUUAAAAAAGAAAUAAGAACGCAGAUGAAAACGCACAACAAUCUCAACCAAGAUUUUAGAAUCGAUUUAGGUUGCAGGAACCGCUAACCUCCGUUCACUGAUUUAGGUCACCGGAAUUUGCA